AAGCGUUUGGAAUUUUGGAUAGAAAUUCCGGGCGUGACAACCUUACCAACCCUUGACAUGUGAACAACAAAACCUGUCCUUAACGGGAUGGUACUGACUUUCAUACAGGUGCUGCAUGGCUGUCGUCAGCUCGUGUCGUGAGAUGUUUGGUCAAGUCCUAUAACAAGCGAAACCCUCGUUUUGUGUUGCUGAGACAUGCGCCUAAGGAGAAAUUGUGGUACGUAGUGGUAAUAGUACGUGCCCCGCUCCGAAACAAAGAAAAAGGUGCGUGCCGCACUCACGAGGGACUGCCAGUGAGAUACUGGAGGAAGGUGGGGAUGACGUCAAGUCCGCAUGGCCCUUAUGGGCUAGGCCACACACGUGCUACAAUGGCAAUGACAAUGGGAAGCAAGGCUGUAAGGCGGAGCGAAUCCGGAAAGAUUGCCUCAGUCCGGAUUGUUCUCUGCAACUCGGGAACAUGAAGUUGAAAUCGCUAGUAAUCGCGGAUCAGCAUGCCGCGGUGAAUAU
rnacentral:rRNA from 1 species